CUGAAGAUCCAAAAAUUAUCUUGAGAGAAGUCAUUAAUUUUUACUCUCAUCGUUGUGCAUGUAUAUUGUUUUGUUUUUCAGAUGAGCAAAUAGGUGAAUGGAUAUGAAUGAAUGAAAGAAACUGAACUAUAGAUGUGCUAUGAUAUUUGACACCACAAGAAUGAAUAAAUUCUACAAGAAAAUGUGAAAAGAGAAAAGUGCAUAAAUAAGAAUUGAAUCUUAUGAUUUUUCAUCCGUCUAUGUAAAGAUGGGGUUUCCUGAUGUUGUUCAUACUGGUCUUGAACUCCUGGCAUCAAGUGAUCCACCUGCCUCGGCCUCUCAAAGUGCUGGAAUUAUGGUCGUGAGCCACCAUGCCUAGGCUCAUCUUCAUUUUACAGGUAAAACUGAGGUCCUUGAGGAAUUACCACACUGUCUUCCACAAUGGUUGAACUAAUUUACAUUCCCACCCACUGCAUAAGAGUGUUUCUGUUUCUCCACAUCCUCUCCAGCAUCGGUUGUCUCCAGAUUUUUAAAUGAUCGCCAUUCUAACUAGCGUGAGUAUAAUGAGAAGCACUCCAAGUGAGAAGAUAAGCGGUACAAAACCCAAUUCCCCAGGGAACACCAGCAUUCAAGGACACAGAGAGGAAAUGGAACAUGAGGCAGAUCCUUACUUCCCAAGGAGAAAGGGAAGACAAGCUGAGAGGCAUCAGAAAGUCCAAAGGAGGUGAGCAUUUCAGGGAGGAGUGAGCAAGUGUCAUAUGCAGUUGCAAGAUUAAGCAAAUACAAACAGUAAAGGAUUUUUAAAGUAGCAGGUAGGUAUACAGCAAAAUACAACUUCUCACAUUCUAUUUUCUCAGAUGAGGAAUUGUUGUGUUUUAAAAUAAAAAAUUAUGAUUACUACUAAGUUACUGUAAGUUCCAUUUCUCCAAACCAGUAAAAGGCAAGAGAGCAAAUAUGUGUUGG
rnacentral:lncRNA from 1 species